AGUGAACGCUGGCGGUAGGCCUAACACAUGCAAGUCGAACGGCAGCACAGUAAGAGCUUGCUCUUACGGGUGGCGAGUGGCGGACGGGUGAGGAAUACAUCGGAAUCUACUGUGUAGUGGGGGAUAACGUAGGGAAACUUACGCUAAUACCGCAUACGACCUACGGGUGAAAGCAGGGGAUCUUCGGACCUUGCGCGAUAGAAUGAGCCGAUGUCGGAUUAGCUAGGUGGCGGGGUAAAGGCGCACCAAGGCGAAGAUCGGUAGCUGGACCGAGAGGAAGAACAGCUACAUUGGAUCUGAGAAUGGUCACAGACACCUACGGUAGGCCGCAGUGCGGACUCUUGCACGAGGGGGGAGAGCCUGAUCCAGCCAUAUCGCGUGAGUGAAGACGGCGCUCUGGUGGGAAAGUCCUGUUGUUGUGAAAGAAAAGCAGCUCUUUCACCCCCCGCUGUUAUGACGGUACCCAAAGAAUAAGCCCCGGCUAACUUCGUG
rnacentral:rRNA from 1 species